rnacentral:lncRNA from 1 species
GGAAUAGGAAUGGGAAGGGAACGGGAAAACGGGAACGGCCCCGAGCCGCCUCCCGUCCCCUCAGGGCCGCCGGGGCCGGGCGGGCGGAGCCGGGAUCGGCCGGGAAUGGCGGAGAGACCGGAACGGGCCCGGGCUGCCGGGGCCCGGAGCAGGUCACCAGAUCCCGUCGAGGACGUGCUUGGGGAGCUCCUGGGAUCCGAUGGUAAAGGGAGAGCUCCCGGCGGGCUCACCUGGGCUCACCUGGGCUCACCUGGGGAGGUCACCUGGGCUCACCUGGGGCUGCCCCGCCCUCCCCGUUCCCACCUGGCCCCGGCUCCAUCCCUGACCCCUCCCUUGUUCCCAGAGGACGUCCCGGCUCCGCCCUGCCGAGGUUCCCGCGCCGCCUUCCCACAGGUGAGCCCAGGUGAGCUCAGGUGGGCUCAGGUGAGUUCCAGGUGGGUCCAGGUGAGCUCCAGGUGGGUCCAGGUGAGCUCCAGGUGAGCUCCUGGUGGGUCCAGGUGAGCUCCAGGUGAGCUCAGGUGGGUCCAGGUGAGCUCCAGGUGGGUCCAGGUGAGCUCAGGUGGGUCCAGGUGAG